rnacentral:rRNA from 1 species
GGACUACAGGGGUAUCUAAUCCUGUUUGAUUCCCACACUUUCGUGCUUCAGUGUCAGUUGUAGCCUGGCAAGCUGCCUGCGCUAUCGGAGUUCUUCGUAAUAUCUAUGCAUUUCACCGCUACACUACGAAUUCCGCCUGCCUCGUUUACACUCAAGUCUCCCAGUUUCAACGGCAAUUUUGACGUUAAGCGUCAAGAUUUCACCGCUGACUUAAAAAACCACCUACGCACCCUUUAAACCCAAUAAAUCCGGAUAACGCUCGCAUCCUCCGUAUUACCGCGGCUGCUGGCAC